rnacentral:ncRNA from 1 species
UGAAUUAGCUUUUUCUUCAUAAUUUAUAACGAAAUAUAAAGUCUUCCUGAUGGGAAUCCGAAGCGAUUCUGACGUGCAAAUCGAUUGUCUGACUUUGGUACAGCGGCGAAAGACUGAUCGAACAAUCUAGUAGCUGAUUCCCUCUGAAGUUUCCCUCAGGAUAGAUGGAGUACGUUAUGAAACUGCUACAUUCGGUAAAGCGAAUGAUUAAAGGAAUUGUGGGACGAAACGUCUUCAACCGUGGAUGACUCGCUUGCUCGAAUGAAGCGUGGACAUUGAAUAUGUGCUCUACAUAGGCCAUUUUGGUAAGCAGAACUGGGGUGCUGUGGACGGACA